CAGAAAAUAGUUUUAUAAAAAUAUUUGUUUUGGAGGCAAAUGAUCCUCAAAAGAGGUUUUCUGA
rnacentral:tRNA from 1 species